rnacentral:ncRNA from 1 species
GACAAGGGGAAUCCGAUUGUUUAAUUAAAACAAAGCAUUGUGAUGGUUCCUACAGAUAUUGAUGCAAUGUGAUUUAUACCCAGUGCUCUACAUGUGAAAGUGAAUAAAUUCAACCAAGCGUGGGUAAAUGAUGGGAGUAACUAUGACUCUCUUAAGGUAUCCAGAUACGUUGUCAUCUAAUUAGCGACAUGCGUGAAUGGAUUAACAAGAUUCCC